ensembl:lncRNA
UGUCAUGGUUUUGUAACUUCGCUAUUGGUAUUCCACAUCAUAACAUCAUGGACAAAAGAGAAGAACUACGUAUCCCAGAGGACCUCACGGUCAGAGAAGGAAGACACAUCACGGAAGAUACGUCAUCUGGUUGCGCGCGGUGCUUCUUCACUUUCGCUUGCUGCCGGGAGAGGAGUGGGUGUGCUUUCCAAGCCGGGCGCCUUCAUCAAGGUUUUCAAGGGAUACUGAUGCACACGAAACAUGAGGGAACGGUAACAACAACAACAAAACUUUCUGGAGCAAGUCCAGGAGUUAAGGUCAAGAUAAAGAAGCAGCAUUAUGAAAGUUUGUGACACUGCUGAGAGAUCAUGCUGGGAAGGAAUGCCAGCAGGUCAUAGGGACUUCCAGGAGCACUGGGAGAAGAUAGAAGCCUGGGAAGAAUCAGCAGAGGGUUUUAGAUGCUGAACUGCAGACUGAAAGUGGACAUCCUGGAGUGUAUAGUUCAGAAGUCUGUUGGACAGUUUUGAGGCAACUGUUAACAAUGAAGCUUUUUGUCUCCUACUUUUCCUACAUCCACAACAGCAUUUUGUUUCUGUAGGAAAAACCUAGGCAAACUUUGCUACCCAGUCAUACUUAUCUGAGCAUAACUUGUCAAUUAGGACAGCUCUGAUAUAUAGCUAUUUAGUGAUUUUGAAUAUAGGUUGCUGUACCUCUCCCUGAGUUGGCCACUACGAAGCAUAACGAGCCUACAGGGCAUGUUAGUGGUAAUUUAAAGCUGUUGCAGAACACUGUGAAGAGGCUGAGCUCUGGAAGGCUGGAACCAAGCUCACUGUAACCAAGGUCCACUCGUGCUCAUUGUCUGAGCCUAUUCCUGGGACUGUACUGACCCCUAGUGACUACAACUCUCAUUAAAUAAUUUCCAAAGCCUCUGUAUAAUUAUUAUUUUUACACAAAGUAUUGCUGUACAAAGCUUUCAUUAAAAGGUGUCUCCAUUAGGAGGAAAUUAUUAAAAUACUUUUUAAGCAAUGUCUACAGGAAGGGAAAUUUUGCUGUUUUUAUUUUACAAUAACCCAUUAUUUUUUUCUCAUGUGUGUGCUGACUUAAGACAUACUUUGAUAUAUUAAUAAAUGAACAGCUUAUUUAAAAUACCACUGCUGCUAAGAUCCUGGGAGUCAGUGAUUUUAAU